GUCAGAAAGCAUAUUAAAACCAACGCUUGAGCUGGAAGCCUCGGUUUGUCAGUGCUGUUAGAAAAACGAAUUAGUGAAGAAGCCUGAAUAUUAAAACAAGUUUUGGAGCUGCUUUUUUUGUCGAACACGAAUGAGACUGGACGCUGAAUACACUUGCGGCGUGAAGGUCUACUUGUAUAGCUGCUGCAGCAUGGACAGAGACACCGACAUCACCUUACAGACCAACAGGUGUCACCACUUUGUCCACAACAUUGUCCACAAUCGCAGAGACAUGGUCCAUGACCGGAGAGACAUUGUUGAGGAUGAGGGAGACAUCGUCCACGAUCAGAGACGUUGUCCAUGAUCGCAGAGACCUUGUCAAAGAUGAGAGAGACGUUGUCCGUGAUCAGAGACAUUGUCCCAUGCUUCGUAGAGACCUUGCGAUAGAAUCGGCGGAGACGGGGGUCACCGAUUUGACGGCAUUGCCCGCGAUCAUGGAGACAUUGUCAAUGGUCUCAGAGACAGCGUCUAUGAUCUCAGAGACAUCGUCCACGAUCACAAAGACAUUGUCCAUGAUCAUAGAGACUUUGUCCAUAAUCUCAGAGACAUUGUCCGCGAUCACAGAGCCGUAGUCCACGAUCACAGAGCCGUAGUCCACGAUCACAGAGAUGUAGUCCACGAUCACAGAGAGUCUUCAUACAGUGAAGAAGUUCUUUCAGACCAAGACACAGGCCUUCAGGUGUCACCACUUUGUCCACGAUCACAGAGAUGUCGUCCGCGAUCGUUGAGACAUGGUCCAUGACCGGAGAGACAUUGUUGAGGAUGAGGGAGACAUCGUCCAUGAUCAGAGACGUUGUCCAUGAUCGCAGAGACCUUGUCAAAGAUGAGAGAGACGUUGUCCGUGAUCAGAGACAUUGUCCCAUGCUUCGUAGAGACCUUGCGAUAGAAUCGGCGGAGACGGGGGUCACCGAUUUGACGGCAUUGCCCGCGAUCAUGGAGACAUUAUCAAUGGUCUCAGAGACAGCGUCUAUGAUCUCAGAGACAUCGUCCACGAUCACAAAGACAUUGUCCAUGAUCAUAGAGACUUUGUCCAUAAUCUCAGAGACAUUGUCCGCGAUCACAGAGACGUAGUCCACGAUCACAGAGAGUAUUUGUACAAUGAAGAAGUUCAUUGAGACCAGGACAGAGGCCUCCAGGUGUCACCACUUUGUCCACGAUCACAGAGAUGUCGUCCGCGAUCGUUGAGACAUGGUCCAUGACCGGAGAGACAUUGUUGAGGAUGAGGGAGACAUCGUCCAUGAUCAGAGACGUUGUCCAUGAUCGCAGAGACCUUGUCAAAGAUGAGAGAGACGUUGUCCGUGAUCAGAGACAUUGUCCCAUGCUUCGUAGAGACCUUGCGAUAGAAUCGGCGGAGACGGGGGUCACCGAUUUGACGGCAUUGCCCGCGAUCAUGGAGACAUUAUCAAUGGUCUCAGAGACAGCGUCUAUGAUCUCAGAGACAUCGUCCACGAUCACAAAGACAUUGUCCAUGAUCAUAGAGACUUUGUCCAUAAUCUCAGAGACAUUGUCCGCGAUCACAGAGACGUAGUCCACGAUCACAGAGAGUAUUUGUACAAUGAAGAAGUUCAUUGAGACCAGGACAGAGGCCUCCAGGUGUCACCACUUUGUCCACGAUCACAGAGAUGUCGUCCGCGAUCGUUGAGACAUGGUCCAUGACCGGAGAGACAUUGUUGAGGAUGAGGGAGACAUCGUCCAUGAUCAGAGACGUUGUCCAUGAUCGCAGAGACCUUGUCAAAGAUGAGAGAGACGUUGUCCGUGAUCAGAGACAUUGUCCCAUGCUUCGUAGAGACCUUGCGAUAGAAUCGGCGGAGACGGGGGUCACCGAUUUGACAGCAUUGCCCGCGAUCAUGGAGACAUUGUCAAUGGUCUCAGAGACAGCAUCUAUGAUCUCAGAGACAUCGUCCACGAUCACAAAGACAUUGUCUAUGAUCACAGAGACUUUGUCCAUAAUCUCAGAGACAUUGUCCGCGAUCACAGAGACGUAGUCCACGAUCACAGAGAGUCUUCAUACAGUGAAGAAGUUCUUUCAGACCAAGACACAGGCCUUCAGGAGGAGAUGACGACAGCAGCUGAACACCUGCAGUGGAUGAAAGAAAACAAGUAUUACGAAGCUGUUAAUUAGAUAAAAGACCUCCACCAUCUAACUGCUGUAAACAGUGUUUGGUUU